AAUAACACGACCCAGCAGCAGCAGUUAACGUACUUGAAAGUGGCGGAAACGGUUUCCACCCGGAGAGGUACUGAUCGUCCUCGUCAGUGGCCUACAGGUGGCCACUAAAACAAAACAACAUCGCGCAUCAUUCGGAAGGUUCGGCAACGAGGCAUGAGGUGCACCGUCCGCCCACGGCAUUUCCUUGUGCGCGGUUGCGCUUCCAACGCCAGGGCAAUCAAGUAUGGAUUGACCUUCCCUUGAUUGAAUCCCCAAUUAUACUCCAGCGGCUGGAGCUUUUCGGGAAUUCCGUGACUUCUCCAGAAUCCUGCUGACAACGGCACGCAAGCUUGAAACUGGAGCAGAAAACGACAUUUUUUGGCAUAUCGGACAAGAUAUCGGGUGAUAGGGUCUAUUACAGAGUAUUA